GGAGGAAGGAUGCUCACUGUGGGCUCAGCUUGGGAAGUGCCAGAGGCUCUGACAGUAGGAACCAGGGACAUUAAAGCCCAGGAGGAGACCCAGAAAAUGGCAGAGGUUUGCGGAAACCCAGAGUCGCCGGGAGCCAUCCAUGCUGAAUAGCCUGGAAACUCGAGAGAUGCUUCAUGCUCAAUUACAAGGGACAAGCUGAAGGAACGGUACAACACCCAGGAAAAGCUUUGCAAAAAAAAUCCGAUCAGGAGGGGAAAACAACAGCCACGCAAUACCAAGAUGCAGGUUCUCCGAGGCUCGCCCUCAACAUCCAGCAAAGUGAGCGCUGUAGUUAAUAAACCCCUUUGCAGGCUACUUGCUGGCUGGUCCGCUUCACUUGCUCGGCACUUUCUCCCCGCAGCCUCUGUGCUUUCCUGUCAUGUGCUCAACAGCAGCGAUCGGCCGCCUGCAAAACAGAGAAGUGCGGGCAGCUGCUUCGCCCCCUUUGCAGAAGCAGCUGCAACAGCCUUGAGUCCCAGCUCCCCACCGCAGCAAGGAGAGACACCUGCACACGCGGGAUAAUGUUGCUUCCUCCUGCCCCACCCCUGGAGCGGAGCGUGGAGCGCAGCAAAUAACCCGCUUUGCCCAAGCCGGACUCUGGGGUGGCUGUUCGCAGUUCUUGGAUUUUAAUUCCGCAGCGCAGGAGCGGGGCUCAGGCCACGCUCUGCCUCGCCGCUGUAUCCAAGCUUCUCGUUGCACUGAACACAAGGGCGAUCGCCCCCCUCUCCCCCCACAGGACAGAGUCCUGAAGUUUUGUUGCACCCUGGAGGGUGUUGUCAUUGGCAGUCGCAGCUGCUAGGCUGCAAAACGUGUCCGGUGCAAAGCCAGCCUGAGCCCAGCUCGAACCACUGAGCUGCGUAGGGAGGUAGGAGCUGGAACCGAGGGACAGACCCCUCCAAGACCCCGCUGUGGGCAGGAAGCGGGUGUGUGUCCUGCACAGAAAUAGUGUGUCACACACACGUGUGUUGGCUGUAUUGUGCCUCGACUGUGGUAUACGAAGGGGCCCGCGUCUUGGUUUUGUGCAGCUUGGGGUGGGAUAUUUCUCACCGGCCACAGUCACGGAUUUCCCUCUCUGGGUGGCGCCCCUCCCCAGGGCAGGGUGGGGGUGCGGCAGGAGCCUCUCCAACGUGCCCUGCAGAAGUAGGACGGGGGCGGGGAUGAGGGAAGGCAGGGUGACGGGGGAAAUCGGUGGAGAGUACUGGGGGAGCACGUGGAGUAAGAUGCCUGGGGGUUGUUUGGAGGGGGACUGCGGAAGAGAACAGGCUAACGGGGGUGGGCGGAGGAGAGGCGGGUGACUGAGCCUGGACCAGAUGGGGAAGGGUGAUUGGAAGCAUUGACAGCCUCAAGCAUUAUUGGGGGGGAGGGGAGAUAUUGGAGCAGCCUCCCCCACCUACAUUACUUCCACUUAGCUUCCCCCACUCUAGCUCGGUGCCCCCUUAUUCUGCUCCUUUCCCUGUCUGCCCCUUCCGCCCAGCCCCCGGCUUUGCAGCUCACCGAGUCUCCUCUCGCUGUUGCCUGGAGCGCUGCUGCUUGCUGCUGACACUGGCUGCGAACCAGCGUGGGGAAGUUGUCCUGGUUAGUCUUGUUUCAGUUUCAUUUUGCUUAUCUUACGCCCUAGCAAAAUGCUGCCGGGUUCGCGUUCCUGCUUCUAAAAAAAAAAAAUCGUAAUAUUAGGUUUUACGUAUCUAUUUUUCUCGGACGGAACCUAAAGUUGGGGCUUAAACAAUCUGACAUUGUCCCUUUUAAUUAUCGCAACAUUACUUUUAGAAGCCAACACCAAGAUGGCCCAGAUCAGGAAUUUCUAAGUGCACCUUUCUGGUGACAGCUUCAGAAUGAAAUUCACCUUGUGAAGGGGUUCAAGUAAGGUUUUGUCUACCAGUGAUUAGUACUCCAGGCUUUAAGCAGGUAACAUGAAUUUCAGCCCCCCCGC